ACAGGAAGGGGACAUCAGUGCUCAGAGGGGCACGAGAAUUCAUAGAAAAGCUGAGGGAGCUGAGGUUAUUACAAAAUCUCAACUCUGGUUCCCUGUGCCUGAGGUUGGUUUUGAAAGAUGAAUUCAAAUUUGUAGGCUGCCUGGGGCGGGGGUGGGGGAGGCCUCCCUGGCUCAGAGCGCCCAGGAGGAAACAGGAGGAGGUGGGCGCGCUGGAAUGGGGCGCAGUGGACACCCGGUGGCGGGGGGAGGCUGAGGCCUCCGCCCCCGGGCAGCCGCAUUCCCAGCCCUGGUGGCACCUCCCCACCUCCGCCUCUGUGGCUCCCAUGGGGUUUUCCCAUGCUGUCACCCUGGCCAGAGGCCCACAGGGCAAGGUCCAGGCAGGAGGGCUCUGGGGAGCAGCUCCUGCCGGGACAGGCAGCUUCUUGGCCUGGCCACUCAUUGCUCCGCUUCGCAGAGGGCACCAAGAGGCUGAGAAAUGCUGCUGUUCCUGAAGGUCGGGCGUUAACACCACAGCCUGGGGGCUGGGAGCUGCGCUGGAGGAGGAAAAGGGCUCUUUGUGCAGCGCUGCCCCUGGUGGGGGUCUGGCCUGAGCACAAAGGUUCUUAAAUUGAGAAACAAGAGUCACCGGGGACAGAGAGGCCUGAUAGCAAGGUUCCCUGUCCUUCCUCUCCUCUGUGAGCAGAAUGUCAAGGGUGACCCAGGGUUGUGCCAUGUUAACAAGCACCCCAGCCAGCGGGGGGGGUCCAGAGUCCUGGAAAAUGGGGCUACGUGCACAGUACAGGAGCCACUGGGGAGGUGGGGACUAGCGGCUCCCUGUGGGGCAUGGCAGCUCCGGAGAGCCCAGGACUGUCGUCCACAACAGCUCCGCACCCUACUCUGCCAUGAAGUCUCAGAAGGGGGGACCUCUUCUCCCUGGCAAUCCCCACCAGCUCCAACUGUGUUCCAACAGGCAAAUAAAGGCGCCCCUAGAGUCUCGAGGGCCCUCCCGCAUCUCUCAAUAAUGUUUUUUUUUCCACCAGAAAAACGGCCUAAACAAAGCACAGGUGAGGGUUUGUGGUGGCCUCCCGUCUGGGGAUCCAAGGCAUUCUGCCUCCUUGGAAGUUCUUGGCCUCUCGGCACUCCCAGUCGAUGGAGGUGUUGUCAGUGGACAAAGAUGAACAUUCCAGAAGAAAAGGCUUGAAACCAGCAGGCAUCAGAGAGAGCUCACAGCUGCUAAGAAGCUGGAGGCAUCCGGGCUGGUCUCUGCCCACCCCCACAACUGUUAGGCCACAGAUGCGGCAGGCAGGGCUGAGCAGCCCGGGUGGGGAGAAAGGGCAGAAGAGGAUUAUGGGAGGUCCCCGGGGAAACCUCAGGCAGAUUGAGGACGUUGCCCCCCACCAGCCCCCUCUCCAGGCUCAGAGGCGGUCAGAGUAGAGGCACACCGUGCUUGUCUGGGGCAGGUGGGCUUUAGCGCACACACUUUCAGGCCUUCAUUAAGAUUCAUCCUCCCCUGUGACCUGUCUCCUGGGUCCUGACCUGCAGCCCAGGGGUAGGGGGGGUUCCCCUUCUGUGGGGCUGCCCCAAGGCCCUUGCUGAGAGGCUAGGCACACCAGGCCUGUGUUAGACUUGCCAAACUGCACCAGGAUCGCAGUAUCCAUUGUGGGAGGCGGAGAUUUUGCCCAGAUAAUUCUCUCUCCUUUCCAGCCCCAAUCCUAGCCCUGGCCUGGAGCCUUCCAGCCCCUACAGGCUGGGGUAGGAGAUGGGAUGGGUGGUACUGCCUGAAGGCAGAGAGGCCUACAGGUUGGUCCCCAGACCCCUAACGCCCUCGUGGUCCCUGGCUUGGGAAAGCCACGUAUGAAUAAACAUAGCUCAAUGAUACCAU
rnacentral:lncRNA from 1 species